rnacentral:rRNA from 1 species
UUACGCCUGCAUGAAGCCGGAAUUGCUAGUAAUGGCAGGUCAGCAUACUGCCGUGAAUACGUUCCCGGGCCUUGUACACACCGCCCGUCACACCAUGAGAGUUGGGAAUACCCGAAGCCUGUGAGCUAACUAUUUAUAGAGGCAGCAGUCGAAGGUAGAAUCAAUGAUUGGGGUGAAGUCGUAACAAGGUAGC